GUGGGGAAUUUUGGACAAUGGGCGCAAGCCUGAUCCAGCAAUGCCGCGUGCAGGAAGAAGGCCUUCGGGUUGUAAACUGCUUUUGUACGGAACGAAACGGUCCUGGUUAAUACCUGGGGCUAAUGACGGUACCGUAAGAAUAAGCACCGGCUAACUACGUGCCAGCAGCCGCGGUAAUACGUAGGGUGCGAGCGUUAAUCGGAAUUACUGGGCGUAAAGCGUGCGCAGGCGGUGCUGUAAGACAGGCGUGAAAUCCCCGGGCUCAACCUGGGAAUUGCGCUUGUGACUGCAGUGCUGGAGUACGGCAGAGGGGGAUGGAAUUCCGCGUGUAGCAGUGAAAUGCGUAGAUAUGCGGAGGAACACCGAUGGCGAAGGCAGUCCCCUGGGCCUGUACUGACGCUCAUGCACGAAAGCGUGGGGAGCAAACAGGAUUAGAUACCCCAGUAGUCC
rnacentral:rRNA from 1 species